CUUAUAACAAUGGCUUUAGUGGUGGACUGGUGAGUAACACGUGAGCAACCUGCCUAUCAGAGGGGAAUAACAGUGAGAAAUCAUUGCUAAUACCGCAUAUGCCAUAAAUAUCACAUGAUGAAAGUGGGAAAGGAGUAAUCCGCUGAUAGAUGGGCUCGCGUCUGAUUAGAUAGUUGGUGGGGUAACGGCCUACCAAGUCGACGAUCAGUAGCCGGACUGAGAGGUUGAACGGCCACAUUGGGACUGAGAUACGGCCCAGACUCCUACGGGAGGCAGCAGUCGGGAAUAUUGCGCAAUGGAGGAAACUCUGACGCAGUGACGCCGCGUAUAGGAAGAAGGUUUUCGGAUUGUAAACUAUUGUCGUUAGGGAAGAUACAAGACAGUACCUAAGGAGGAAGCUCCGGCUAACUACGUGCCAGCAGCCGCGGUAAUACGUAGGGAGCAAGCGUUAUCCGGAUUUAUUGGGUGUAAAGGGUGCGUAGACGGGAAAGCAAGUUAGUUGUGAAAUCCCUCGGCUUACUGAGGAACUGCAACUAAAACUACUUUUCUUG
rnacentral:rRNA from 1 species